rnacentral:rRNA from 1 species
GACGAACGCUGGCGGCGUGCUUAACACAUGCAAGUCGAACGGAAAGGCCCUGCUUUUGUGGGGUGCUCGAGUGGCGAACGGGUGAGUAACACGUGAGUAACCUGCCCUUGACUUUGGGAUAACUUCAGGAAACUGGGGCUAAUACCGGAUAGGAGAUCCUGCUGCGUGGUGGGGGUUGGAAAGUGUCGGCUGUUGGGGAUGGACUCGCGGCUUAUCAGCUUGAUGGUCGGGUAGUGGCUUACCAAGGCUGUGACGGCUAGCCGGCCUGGGAGCGUGAACGGCCACCUUGGGACUGAGAGACGCACCAGUAUCCUACGGGAGGCAGCAGUGGGGAAUAUUGCACAAUGGGCGGAAGCCUGAUGCAGCAACCCCGCGUUCGGGAUGACGGCUUUCUGGUGGUAAACCGCUUUCUAAUGUGACGAGGCGUGAGUGACGGUAAUGGGUAAAGAAGCACCGGCUAACUACGUG